AACUUGUCAAAUUUCUUCCACGCCCUCUAAAUGUCAGUUUAUGUAAGCAACAGUUGGUCAAGAUGGUGUUUAAACGACUGUGGAAGGUAGCAAAAUAUGGAGGACUGUUAGGAGCUGUGGGUACAACAGGCUAUCUCCUGCAGAAGAAUGACUGGGAUAUGUCAACCAUAGGUGUGGUCCGAUUUGGUCGAGCAGCAUGGGCAGCAGUGAGGCUUGUUGCAGAUUACAAGAUUAACCUCCGAGGCGUGGAUUAUGAUUCUCCAGAGUAUCAAAAACUAAAAUCUGAGAUUCACUUGCGGUCAGCAUUGCAAUUGAGAGAUAUGUGCUGUUUGAAUGGCGGAGCUUUUAUCAAAGUAGGACAGCAUGUUGGGUCCUUGGAGUACUUGCUUCCAAAGGAAUAUGUGGAGACUAUGAAGGUUUUGCAUAAUAAAGCACCACAGUCCAACGUAGAUGAACUGAAAGGUGUUUUUGAGGAAGAUUUGAAAAUGAAGUUUUGAGAAGGAGCCACUUGGAGCUGCCUCGCUGGCCCAGGUUCACAAGGCAACACUCAAAGAUGGAACAGUGGUAGCUGUCAAAAUACAACAUCCGCAAGUCAAAAGCCAUUCCUUUGUGGAUAUAAAAACUAUGGAGCUUUUGGUUCACUGCAUUGCCUGGGUUUUCCCAGGUUUCCAGUACAUGUGGCUUGCUGAAGAAACAAAGAGGAAUCUUCCGCUAGAGCUUGACUUUCUCCAUGAGGGAAGAAACUGUGAGAGGGUUGAGAGACUUUUUAAACACUUUAGCUUCCUGAAAGUUCCCAAGAUUCAUUGGGAUCUGUCCUCGGAGAGGGUGCUGACCAUGGAAUUCUGUGAGGGAGGAAAAGUGGAUGACAAGGCCUAUAUGGAGAAACAUGGAAUAAAUGUCAAUGAGGUCACAAAGAACUUGGGGAAGCUUUACAGCGAGAUGAUAUUUGUCCAGGGCUAUGUUCAUUGUGACCCCCAUCCCGGCAACGUCUUGGUCAACAAAACUGAUGAGGGAACUCAAAUAGUCCUGCUGGAUCAUGGAUUGUAUCAGUCAUUGACCGAUACAUUUCGUGUCAGCUACAGUAAGCUGUGGAUGUCUCUUAUCAAUGCAGACCUAGAGGGCAUUAAAAAGUAUGCCACAGAGCUGAACUGUGGCGACAUGUAUGGACUGUUUGCAUGCAUGAUAACGGCUCGCUCAUGGAAUGCUAUCACCAGUGGAAUAGACAAGACAGAGAUUACACAAUCUGAGAGUAAUGAAAUCAAAGACAAUGCUGCCAACUACCUAAUACAAAUAUCUGAAAUACUCAACAAGAUUCCUAGAGAAAUGCUUCUUAUUCUCAAGACCAAUGAUGUUCUACGUGGGAUCGAGUAUGCAUUGAACAUUCAACCAAAUGCCACAUCUUUCCUCAACAUGUCGAGGUGCUGUGUUCGGGCGGUUGGAGAGGACCAAUACAGACAGUGUCAUUCCUGGACCAAUCGAAUGAGAGUUCAGUUUGCUACCUCAUGGCAGCUAUUCAAAAUAAGUGUCUAUGAAUUUUGUCUGUGGAUACAGCUGAUGUACUCUUGGUUGUUUAGGUACAAGUUACCAAGUUAAUGAUGACCAAGUUUAGUUUAUUUUUCGAUGCAGUGAAACCAGUCUAUAUUCAUGUGCUUUUAGAAGGAAUUCAGAAUGGUCAGAUUGCUGGAUGUGACGAUGUUAAAAUUAAUGAAAAACAUGUAAUUCUAAUAAAUUAUAGAAAUCAGAAUUGUUUUUAGAAUGGCCGGAUACUUAGAAGAGAAUGUAGAUGCAGACAGGUUUCACUGUAUCAUUAUCAAUAUAGAUUUAUUAAAUUAUAUUUUCAAGGGUAUUAUGAUUAAUAUUUUAACUCUGCUGCAUGAGAAUUACCGUAAAGACCCUUUAUUCUUAAGUAAAAAUAUGAACGCCCAGUUUGUUUCUGAUGGGUGAUCAUUAGUAGCGGUAAUUGUCAAUACCCUCAGACUGAAUUGUGCUCAUUGACAAUUAAUGUACAUCAAAUUAAACUACUGGCAACUACCUUUUCUAGAUUUUUUAAAGGAGUAAAUUACUUGGUAAUGUAUGGAAACAUGGUUGUUUGAUUUUCAUAUUAGUAUGGCUAAAAUCUAUUAGAAACACUACUGAAUUUUUAUGAUCUUUUGCCAUAAAAACUACAUGUUUUAUCAUGAAAUGUCAAUAAAUUAAUGAACUAUGAAUUACUUCAUUCUGU
rnacentral:misc_RNA from 1 species